CGCUUCCCUGCUCUCUCUCUCUCUCUCUCUCUCCGGCGAUCCAGAUCUGGAUCUAGGGAUUUUCUCCAUCACGUUUCUACUACUCCAUUUCUUCAUGGAAAUCAUUGGAAUCAAACUCAAGUCUAGGUUCGAGUACACAAAUAUGGAGAAACCACAUUCGUGCCAUCUCUUCUGCUACUGAUUCGCUUCAGAUCCGGACAUGGAUUUUAUUCCAAGGUUCGAUUACACAAAUAUUUCACAUGUUUCUUACUCUAAUCAAAGGUUUCUUACAUAUGUAAGUCGUUUUUUUAUUUUGUUAACCGACUGAUGGCCAAAAUCGUUGUUUGAUGACGAUUUUAUGGGAUUUUCGGUCGCGUUAUUUGUAAGCCAGAUUUGAUGACGAUUUCAUGUUAUUUGGUUCUGUAUUGAAUUCUGAAUUGGAUUAUCCAGACAUUAGUUUAAGAUUCUUCAAGUUUUGUGAAGAGCGGUCUAAUUUACUCGACACCCAGAGCUGCCGUUUCAGGAUUAACUUCUCUGUUUGUCGCAUUGUUAUGAAGAUCAUCACUUGCCUCUCAGACACUAUUCUCUUCACUUAGUUCAUCUCGAAAUCAGACUUAAUUAGAGGCAGUUGGUUAAUUAGAGGCAGAUGGAUGGAUGGAUGGACGGACAAACGUACGGACGUACGGACGGACGGACGGACAUUGGGAAAUCUAAAAGCCGGUUUAUAUGUAAUUGGCAUAAAUGUGAUACUUGUAAAAGAGCUUCAGAUUUCCAAUGCUAUUGCUGUCCAAAGAGUGUUUGCGGACGUUGUAUGAAAUCUGCCGAUUUUAUUCAUGUUAAAGGGAAGAAAGGAUUCUGUGAUCACAGCUUGAAGCUUACACUACUUGUGGUAGAAAAGAAAGAUGUUGAUUCUGAUGGGGAAACUGUAGACUUUAACAAUCGGAACACGUACGAGACUCUAUAUAAGGAAUAUUGGGAGAUUAUUAAUGACGCUGAAAAGUUGACUCUUGAAGAACUAUUAUCCGCCAAAACAAAACUGAAAUCUGGAAAAAAUUACGAUUCAGACCAAAAUGACGAAAGUGAUGAGUACCAAUGUUCGGAUUCUGAAGAAAACGAAGAAAAGAAACCACAUAGUUCCGAAAAGAAAUUGAAAAGAGCAAAGCCUGAACCGUUAGGGCAAAAAGUAAAAACAAUAGUCAAAAAGGAAGUUAAAGUCAAACAAGGAAGAGUUCAUGGGAUGGGGAUCAACACGUGUCAUUGAAUUUCUUACCUAGAUAGGAAAGGAUACAUCUAUUGCAUUAUCUCAACGUGAGCUAGAAAACAUCGUUAAAAGGUACAGCUAGGAAAUGAAUCUAAUCCAAAAGAACAAGAUAGUCGAGUGUGACGAAUGGUUACGGAUGAUCACUUCUCUGAGGAAGAAUGUCAAGAUUUAAAAAAGAAAGUGAAAUCCGGAAUGCUUCAAAAGCUUGAGUUGUUCUUGAAGAAAAGGCUAGGAGUCUACACAGGGACAUUGUGACACAUUGGAUUCCUCGAGAGCUUGGCAUAUUGAAACAUCGUAUCGACCAAGCAAACGAGAAAAGAUGGAGAAAAGAAUGUCCUUUUUUUAGUAAUUGAUGGAACUUACUCUGUACUAAUCUAAAUUUAGGGGUGUUCACAGCUCAGUUCAGCUGGUUUUGACAAAAUUUCUCGGCAGAACCUCUAUGUAUGAUGUCACAAUAUUGCAAACCCAUCCGGAAUCAUUUGCUUACACUGUUCGGACAGAUUGAACCGGUUGUUAUAGUAAAUUCUUAAAAAUUAUUGAAAUAGUUCAUGAACAUACGAAAUGGCGAUGAAACUGGAGAAUUUUUUUGGUUCCAUGGAGCAGCUAGAAAAGUCAAGAAAACCAUCUAUUGUCAAAAGUCCAAGUCAAUUGUUUGACUUUAGUAAAGAAAAGUCAAGCAUGGAUGAUAUGAGCAAGGUGGAUGUUGAAGACAUUGAAAGCUCUCAGUGGUUUGUUACGUGGCUGAGGGGUGAAAAGGUGGGGCCUGUGUCGUUAUCGGUGCUCAAGAACUGGAGUCAGACCCAGGCUACAUCAAAAUCUAUGAUUUAUAAGAUAAGUGAAAGCAAAGAACAGGCCAAGCCACUGACUGCUGUGCUGAAUCUUGCUUUUUCUAAAAAAUGAUCAUGUUUUCAGGUGUUCUUUUGAAACUUAAGUUUUGAGUUUGCUAAAGUCAAAGUAGUAUGUGCAGUUUAUGAGUCUGUUUUUAGUGGUGGUAUUAUAUAAGAGCAAGAGACUAGAGGUUUUGGAAACAUGUUGUUCAUAGUCUAAGAACAGGUAAGACUGGU